CUGUGAUGGUAAAAUGUUUAUGUGUAAAACAAGGACACGUGACAGAGAUCUCAAAAAAAAAAAUGACACAAGUAAAAGGUUAUUAUAUAAAAUGUUGUAGACACACAUUUGUAGAAAGUGAAACAAAACCAACAAUUAAAAAUUAUCCCAAACAUUGAGUUCAAAAUAUGAAAAGUGACUUCAAAUAGUUCAUGCAUAAGAAUAGGAAGAAUGUCAUUUGGAAAACUUUAAACAAAGUAUUUCUGUGAGAAGACAUUGAGUCCUAUUAUUAUCUGUCCAACGUUAAAAUUACAAGCCAUAUCAGAGGGGAGAGGUUCAAUGGUUUCUUAGAUAAACUUGCAUGUGUCUUAGGGUAUGUUUAAGUGUUUCUUUGAGUGUGUCCAAGGGUAUCUAAAAAUCUUUAAAUGUGUCUAAUUGAAAAAUUAAAGAGUGGAGAAACUCUCCGAAGCUCUCUACUCUCAGCAUUAAACUAAUGGGUGGAGGUCUGAGUCACAUUUCACUAUCAUUUUAUAUUUAUCUUCAUUGCCUGACCUACUUUCCAUAUAGUAGUCGUAUUCCAUAUUCACUUAUAAUUACAGAUGUAUUAGUUUGUUUUGGGGGAAAGAAAAGAAAUGACUUACCCCCCCCCCCCCC